AAGACUCUAGUAAAAUUUUACCUUGUCUUGUCAAGACAAAAUUGUGGGUUAGAACCCCGCGAGUCUUA
rnacentral:tRNA from 1 species